rnacentral:rRNA from 1 species
GAUGAACGCUAGCGGCAGGCCUAACACAUGCAAGUCGAGGGGUAGAGGAAGCUUGCUUCCUUGAGACCGGCGCACGGGUGCGUAACGCGUAUGCAAUCUACCUUGUACAGAGGGAUAGCCCAGAGGAAUUUGGAUUAAUACCUCAUAGUAUUAUGAAAUCGCAUGGUUUUAUAAUUAAAGUUCCAACGGUACAAGAUGAGCAUGCGUCCCAUUAGCUAGUUGGUGUGGUAACGGCAUACCAAGGCAAUGAUGGGUAGGGGUCCUGAGAGGGAGAUCCCCCACACUGGUACUGAGACACGGACCAGACUCCUACGGGAGGCAGCAGUGAGGAAUAUUGGUCAAUGGGCGCAAGCCUGAACCAGCCAUGCCGCGUGCAGGAUGACGGUCCUAUGGAUUGUAAACUGCUUUUAUACAGGAAGAAACACUCGGACGUGUCCGAACUUGACGGUACUGUAGGAAUAAGGAUCGGCUAACUCCGUGCCAGCCGCCGCAGUAAAAC